CCCAGCACUAUGACAUAGAAAUACUAGCCAAUGCACAACCAUGCUGCCCCAUAUUCUUUCAAUUGUUAGUUUAAAUCUAUCCUAGUGCAGAAUAAAUGCCCUUUUUAAAAUAUCAUUAUACUAUGUCAGUAAACCUAUUUACAUAUAUUUUCAUUGGUAGAAUAAACUACAGUACCACAUGCAAAGUGUUGAUGGCAAAGUCGAAUCCACUAAGUCAUCUGUCCUCGCUCUGUGUAAUUAAAUUGAAUAAUAAUCCCAAAUUUAUGGAACUGCCAAGAACACUUGAAGUAACUAAUGAGGUCUUCCUCAGAAUACAACUGUAAAGUUGGCAUAAUUCAUCCACUAAUCUCAUCAAAAUCAUAUUCACUUAAUUACCCAUCAUAUUAGGCCCCAAAGUAAUUUAUGUAGGGGGAAUUUUAUACACUUAGAGGAAUCCUUAUAAAGGUUUUAGAAAAUAAUGAAAUAUUGAAACUUCUUGACGUAUCUUAAAAAUCUUAAAGAUUUGCAUACGCUACUAUUUUUGCCAUGACCUUUGAUGACCUCUAGUGUCCAUCCCCUAACUUGUAAAGGAGGCCAAUGACCAUUUACCUGUGAUCUUCAGAGACUGCUCUGAAUUUACCCGUGACAAUACAUGCUGCUACUGAAUGUACUUUAGUGUCUUACCUCCUUUUAACCCCUAGCAAAACAAGGACUUCUGUAUAGUUCCAGGGACCUUUAUUGAACUUCUUACCUCAACUUAUAUAUAUAUAACUUGCAUGAUUUAUACUACUGAGUGGUGGCAGAAGGUUUUGUUGUCAGGUGAGUAAAAAUAUUGAGGGCUGUGGUCUAAAUACAGUGUAUGUGUUUUAUGGCCCGAGAUCACCACAGCAUAUUGCCCACCUUCACAACUGGGAAGCAUGGUGCUGGCAGGGACUGGCAGGUGUGUCAGGGUUGGGGAGAAUAUGGAUUGUGGAAAGUACUGGUCGAUCCUAGAGGAAAACCUACAGUACUUGAGUCGGCCAAGAAUUGCAUAGUGGGUCAGCAAACCACAUUUCAGUGGGAAGGACUUUGAUCUGAAGCACAGUCAGCAAAGCCACACUGGAGUGGUCUGUCGGGAAGAGAGUGAAUGUGCUUUAGAGGACAACAUUUCUGGGAAGAAUGGGCAAAAAUUAUGCCAGCCUAGUGGCAGAGACAAAAAAAAAACACAAGACAAAAAAGAGGUGAAUACUUAAACCUGAGACAAUAGGGGUGUUAAAACUCUCCAAAGGCACUGUACUGUGAUAAAGAUUUAAAAGCAUAGACUUUAUUUGAAUUGUUGUUAUGCUGAAAUUACAGAAACCAUAUUGCACCUCUAGUACAAAAGAUACAUUCCCAUCCUCAAUGAGCAAUAUUUUUAUUUUUUAAAGCAGUAAGAUACACAUACAGUGCCAUUUUCAACAACUUUAACUUUUUUCUUUAAAACUUUAUUCUCGCUUUUUCUCGCUUUCUAAGAAAAAAUAUACUAAUCAUUUCCAUAGUUACAUGAAUUGCACCCUAGGGUCUCUUUUUCUUUCAUUUUUUCAUCUAUCUUAAUAACACUGUGAGCCAUGUGGGAAAAAGGUUUUGUAACAGAAGUGAACUACUGGUUGGAUUAAAUAUAUUUUUCAAGGUAUCACUUGAAGCGACACAGACAUCAUUAGUUUCAGGCUGCAGUAAUGACAAAGCUUGAGGUGCUAUUUUAAGUUCAAAAUUGACAGUAGUUAUGCUCUUUUCAUAAAAUCAGUGCUGUCAGAAAGCUGCUUCUCAAGUGUAGGAGCAACACAGAGCAGGUAGAGGCUUGAACAAAAAGAUGUUUUUAGCCAAGCAAGUUGGCCUUUGAUUCAUCCAGAUAAUAAAUACCAGCUGCAGACUUGCUAAUAUAAAAUGUGCAUAUAUCUGCAAUUAAACUAUUAACACUAGCUGGCAAAAAAUUAAAACAUCCAAUUAUAUUUGAUUUGAUUAGAUUAAAUUAAAUUAAGCAAAUGUGUCUUAAGGAUGAAAGCAUAAACUGAUAUUUUUUCACAGUACAUGUUUAGAUAAAAAUAUGGCUGUAUAAUCACUUUAUAUUAGAGCAGCAUUGAUCAUGUUGGUCUGUGAUAUUCUUAUGAUGUUUAGUGACAUUGUUUUAAAACAGCAUUUAAGUCUACAUUUUACUAAAGAAACCAAAAAUGUUGAUUGACACAAGUUUCUCUUUUAUGUUAUUGCUAAAAGACAGCUUAUCUAGCUUUUGGACUCACAAUUUGCAUUUAGAAAAGUUCCGCAGCCUGUUUUUAAAUAUGAUGCUUAGAGAGAAAUGCAUUAUGUUAAUUUCUACAUUGUGUAAUCACUUGGUACUUAAAAAAAGUCAUUUCUGAAAUAAUAUGAAAACUACAAUUCUGCUUGAAUCUUGCCUUCUAGUAGUCAUUUAAAAACGUACCAUACCCUUGUUAAAAUUGAGGUUUUAGAAUGUGCUUCAAUCUAUAUACUGUUAGAAUUAUUUAAUGAACCUGUGGUCCCUUGAAUUUUCCAAAUUAACAUUCAUAAUAUUUUCUGUAAUUAAUCACUUUUAAAAUCCCUCUGGCAAUCUUCUGUACUCUACAGUAUAUGCUGUCAAGUAACAUUUGUGUCCUGAUUUUUACAGUGGGGUGAAAUGGCAGAAUAUUUGUAUAAAUCACAUUCUGUGUUUUCAUGUCAAAUGAAACUAUAGUUCUAAAGCUAAAAAUUGCAGAAUGUUCUGUUUACCAAAAUCGUACUUUUAAGUGUACAAUGCAAAAAUGUAACUUUACAUGUGUAUACCUGCAUUCAGAAGCUUUUUGGACAAUUAAUACAGCAUGUAUUUUAAAGCAGUUGUGCACCUAAGAUAUUAAAGAUAUAAACUCAAUAUAGUUUAUACUGUAUUUAUACAGGUAUAGCCAACAGUAUAGUCAAUAUGUUGUGACAGGCUUGUGUAAAUAUGUCUUCCAGAGCGAUCUUUGACACAAACUCAGCUCAUGGAGAAACUAUACCAUACUGUAAGUUUUAGGACAAGAUACAGGUAACUGGAAAAAAUCCAUAGAUCUGUGGCGCACCUAAAGGUGAAGGGACGCCAGAAUCACUCAUGUGAAAACUAGCGAUAGACUGGAAAAGAACAGUCUUUUCCUGCAAGAAUGCACGGAGAAGAAUGAUGGGUUCCGCUUGCUUUCCUUUUUCUGUACUGGACUGUUUAUCUCAAUCGCAUAGUCAGUCUCCUGGUGGAUUCAGUACGUGGGAGGGACUGAACCAUCCGAGGAGACGCGCGUGGUGAUAGUGCUGAGUCCGUAGAGGGCUGUCCCUGCUGACCCCAGCCAGUGCCCAUCCACGGGAUUCUGAAGCGGGAUUACAGGAAUGCUCGUGUGCCGCUCGGAGCCUCGUGGGAUUUUAUCAAUGACAAUGUUUUUUUUGUGGUAUUUUUUCUUCUUUAGUCUCAGAAAAGUACCACAUUUUACACCUCUGCCCUUGAUCUCGCAGAAUUCUCAGAAACUCAAAACAUUUCCUCCCGUGUUUGUUUUUUUUUUUUUUUUUUCCCCACCUCUCAUCAUAUACUCAUACCAAACUUGAGUUUGGUAUUUUGGGGGCUGAUUUAUGGUGAAUAGCCAAGUACAGUUCAUCAAAAUAACAAAAAAUGUAUAUUGAUGGAUGAAAAAGGCGGUCAGCCUUAGUCCAGAAAUGUGAGCUGUGCUCAAAUGCAUGCCACCUACUAGUUUAUUUUUCUGUCCUCUCAGUGUUUAUAUUGUGAUUUUCAAAGUAUUUAGGAAACCGUUCCUGUGAUUCAGAUAUCAUACCCACUGUGUGCUGAUCCCAUUUGCUGGGUAGUGCCAUUUUGAUCCAUAGAAUUCUGAAAAUGUCACUGGAUUUCACUUGCAGGCUAAUGGCCAACAGGUCUAAGGGAAACGCACUGGGAAACUACGCAGUCUGUCUUUUGGAAAACAAAAAUGCCAAAACAACAGCGUCACAUCUCUCGGCAGUACCGCUGCGUUUCCUUCACAAUCACAGAAGCCACUGGGAAUAUCUUUUGAAGGAAAAGAUUAGAUCUGUCUCUACAUUCAGGAUGAGGAGGAUCUAAGAUGGAUGUCACUGUUGUGAUGAUCAAGCUGACAAAUGGAAAAAAGAUGGAUUUACACUGUUCCUCCCUAGAGAUGUUACUCCUCUGCCUCCACUGACAGGUGGAAUAAUCUUCCAAUCGUGGCCAAGUGCUCUGCACUGUGAGCUUCCUCAUCCUCGCAGUCAGCGCUGUGCAGAGGAAAGGGGGCCCAAACUGUCACUGCCAACACAUGCAAAUCUCAAAACUGGAAGGACUUGUGUACAACUCUGCACUCUCUCCGGGAAUCCACUGCUGGAAAAAAGUCUCCCUGCUAGGCAGAGGAUGAUUAAAAAGCAUAAUAUUCAUUGCAGCCCAUGGGAGUGGGGACGAUGACGACGGACAACAGUAAUUAAUAAACUCCUAUAAACCAACAAGCAAUGCUGACACAUACCGUAAUAACCAGAGUUCAUUCAAUUGGUAAGCCACUUGCAAAAUCUUUCAAGCCUGCAAAAAGUGCACUUAAAGACAUAUUUUGUACCUAAGACCUGCAGUAAAUGAAAAGAGGCAAAGUGUAAUGAUCUCAAUAAUUUAUAACUCCUUCUAAGACAAGGUAAAGGAUUACUGGAAUAGAAAGCUAGUGACAGCUCAUUAGUCACUGUUAAUAGACUCCCUGUUCCCGUGUUCUGUUCCAGUGCAGGUAAAGUUGCAGACAAAUAGUGAGGUUCUGAGAAUUCCAUCAUGUAAAUGAAAGAAUUGUUAAAAGUUCUGAGAAGAUCAGUCCAAGCUCAAUAUUACUAUCAUUGCACGCAGAAAAUAAAAGUUGAAACCCAGAGAAUGUGCUUAUUCUAGUGGUAUUGUCAUUCCUAGGGAGCCCCCAAGAGACCACAAGAUGUCUGGAUGUAUUAUGAGAUGCCCUAAGGUAAGUUUCUGUGACACAAGAGUGCUUGACACAGUGAUUCACCCAGCAUCUUGUUCAGUUGGUACUGUAUUCCAGUACUGCAGCUGGGUUUUCAGUUCCAUCAUCUGAAACUCUUUUAUUUCACAAUGAUGUCAAAGGGUGCAGAUAAAACGAUUGUGUCUCCAUAAGUAUCUUAAAAACACCAGCUUUGUGUUAUGCAAAGUUAUGCAGUUCCAGUAAAGUAUUUUUAUUUAAAUAAAGAAAGGGUUUUUCAAAUGAAGGAUUGGAGCACACUUUAGCUUGCUUGAGACUGGAACUGUUUCAGCAAAACUCUUUUGUGACCUGGAAGAGUUUGUUAGAAUUAAUUUAAUUCCUAAUACUUAUAAAGCACUUUAUAGGUGAUGGGGACUCCCUUCCACCACCAACAGUGUGCAGCUCCACCUGGAUGAUGCAACAACAGCCACAACGUCAAAAUCUGCUCCCCAUACAGCAGCUCUCAGUAUGGAGGAGAACAGAGUGAUGAAGCCAGUUCAUAGGGGAUUAUGAGGAGGCCAUGAUUGGUAAGGGCCAAUGGGACG